rnacentral:rRNA from 1 species
AUUGAACGCUGGCGGCAGGCCUAACACAUGCAAGUCGAGCGGAUGAAGGGAGCUUGCUCCUGGAUUCAGCGGCGGACGGGUGAGUAAUGCCUAGGAAUCUGCCUGGUAGUGGGGGAUAACGUCCGGAAACGGGCGCUAAUACCGCAUACGACCUGAGGGAGAAAGUGGGGGAUCUUCGGACCUCACGGUGUCAGAUGAGCCUAGGGCGGAUUAGCUAGUUGGUGGGGUAAAGGCCUACCAAGGCGACGAUGGGUAACUGGUCUGCGAGGGUGAUCGGCCACAUUGGGACGGAGAUACGGCCCAGACUGCUACGGGAGGCAGCAGUGGGGAAUAUUGCACAAUGGGCGGAAGCCUGAUGCAGCAACGCGGCGUGCGGGAUGACGGCCUUCGGGUUGUAAAACGCUUUCGCCUGUGACGAAGCGUGAGUGACGGUAAUGGGUAAAGAAGCAACGGCUAACUACGUG